rnacentral:rRNA from 1 species
UACGGAGGGUGCGAGCGUUGUCCGGAAUCACUGGGCGUAAAGGGCGCGUAGGCGGCCUGAUAAGUCGGGGGGGAAAUCUUGCGGCUUAACCGUAAGGCUGCCUUCUAAACUGUCAGGCUAGAGCACAGUAGAGGCAGGUGGAAUUCCCGGUGUAGCGGUGGAAUGCGUAGAGAUCGGGAAGAACAUCAGUGGCGAAGGCGGCCUGCUGGGCUGUUGCUGACGCUGAGGCGCGACAGCGUGGGGAGCAAACAGG